ensembl:lncRNA
AUGGCAAUACAUUCAUUCUGCCAUUUGGAGGAGCCUGCGCCACAGAAUAAUGAUCUGAAAAGAGCUAAUGUAUUUGCAAGGAAGAGUCCUCAUUUGUGCAAUAGUGUUGAUGCAGCUAAGAGGUGCCUUGCCAAGUUCAGCACAGCCUGCCAUGCUUGGACGGAACCGUUUUUUCUUCGAAGAAUAAACAGAAUGCUGCAUCUAAAGAGUAAGAAGUUACAGACUUACUUCCUUGCUUUCUUCAAAAACAGAAGGAUGCUUUUAAAGAUAAAGAUUUUGAAAUGAAGAAUAAAAAAGGAGAAUGUUUUCAGAAAAAGAGUUUAUAACGGACCUGAUAAAUACAUGUGUUAUCUUUUAAAAAUAUUUAACUCAAGUGAAGCUCCUGUAUGGCAAGCCUCAAGACCAAGAUCAGUGUCUUGUCUUGCUUUUCUGAUGUGCAAAAUGAAGCUCGUCCAAUAUGUGUUACUCCAGAAAGAAUUAAGAUAAUUGAAGUCAGAAUAUCUAAACUUGGAUCACUUGCAAAAACCAUUUUGGUAGGUGUAGGUUGCUUGUCUGAAAUCUGUUCUGAAGCUUCAGUGCAAAGCAAGUACAGCACUAAUGAUGGAUGUGAAUGGACAUCUUAA